UGAUUGUAAAAAAAUAAAGGUAGUGGUGGGGUGCUGCGGGCUGCAGGAAUAUAUCAUAAGAACUCAGCUGGUUAUGGCAAAGUCACUACCAGGAGGAAUCAGAAAAUUCCUCCAGAGGAAAUCAAAUCCCAAGGAGUUUUUGGUGUUACUUGGCUUGUUAUAUAUCAGCUGUAUUCUGUUAUGAAAAUCAUGUGUGCCUUCACAGUUUUCCCAAUUGACUUUUCCCUAAGAAGGGCUAGCAGUGUGGACUGAU